rnacentral:lncRNA from 1 species
GGUGGUUUAGUAAAUUACAAAUUUGAUUUGAGAAGAUUUUUAGAAACGGGGGUACGUUUGGUAAUUGUUAGGACUUAUUAUGAAAGAGAAUAAUGGAAUCAGGGGCAAAAGGAUAAAUAUUUGAUUUAAUUUGAAAGGACUCCAUGAGGAGGGACCAAAAUGGUAAAUAUGGAAAAGCCGUGAAAUGGAUGGGGUAUAUAGCCAAUGGCUUCUUAGUCCAAACCCUAACCCUAAAUGAUGGAAGCGGCCGCCACCCUUAUCCCUCCACUCCUCCAGCCGCCGUCACCACCCAACUCCCUCUUACCUUCCCGAUCAGUCGAAGCUCCAAGACUCCGAACGACCACCAGUGAAUCAUGUUGUCGGCAAAGUUGAAGACUGUCAGAUUACGGGGAUGUCGCAACAAGUGAAGGGUGGCAUACUAGACAUCGUCGUGUUGCUCGUCACCGCUGACGGAGUGGGAACCACCAUUCGAGUGACGGUGGUUGCUGCUGGCGAAAUCAAGGAUUGCUAGGUCGACGUUCGUCCCGUGGGCGGUGAGAAACCGAGUCAGUUUCUAUUUGCGGUUGUUUCCGGUGGCGAACAAAACCCCCAACCUCAUCCGCUGCCGCUGGCUCGCUCCUGUUUGCUUCGGUAAUCGUCGCCACCCCGAAGAGGUUGUCGUGUUCGCGUGGAUUUCCCUUCUGUCGAGUUGGGUUGUGACGAACCACCAUGGUAGCCGGCCAUGGUGGCUGCUGCCACCGUCAAUCCCCCUUCAAGAUCGAUGAAGAGUUGCUCGGUGGGUGUCUAUCUUAGUGUGUUUGUUUAUUUCAGCUAAGUGAUGUUUGGUGUGGCUUGUUUAGUCGGAAAAUGAGAACAACACCAUCACCNNNCUAGUCGGAAAAUGAGAACAACCACCACCAUCACCACCACCACCGUGAGGUGGUAGCUGCCGCCACGAGCCACCACCGGCCACCAUGGUGUGGCUGUGUGUGUAUUAGUUAGUGUGUGUUAGUGUGUGUGUGAUUGUGUUUGGAUGAAUCAUUGUAAUUGUAAUUAGUUUGGUUAAUAAUAAAAAUAAUAGUAACCACCACCGGAAGGUGGUGCCCGCCGCCGUGUGCUGCCGUAGACCACCACUCCCGGAGGUGGUAGUAGGUGGUGCCCCACUAGCAAAACCCUAAUGGGCUUAAGGAUUAGUUUUGGGCCUAUUGGGCCCUGUUUGGGUGAAAAACCCUAAUUAGGAUUUAUAAAACCAUAAUCUUGAGUAAUUGGGCCUUGGACUUAUUUGGACCUACAUUUGGGCCAUUGGUAAUGGAAUUAUGUAUGAAGCCCAAAUUAGUUCAUAUCAUUUAUCUAGUAGGGUAAAGUCCUUAAUGGAUUAAGCCCUUAAUGGGAUAAGUAAGAAACAUUUAACCCUAAUUGUCAUUUUAUGUGAAACCCUAGUUUCACUUGGGCCUUAAGUUGGGCCUUUCGAUUGGGCUUUAGUAAUUGGUUUAUUAAUGAGCCAUCCAAGAAUAAUUAAAUGGACUAGAGUAAUUAGUUGGGCUUUAGGGUAAGGCCCAUAUGAAGGAUUGGGCCAUAGAUGGGCCAUAGUUUGGGCCUAGAUGGUUGUAUGAUAUUGGGCCCUUAAAAUAAGACAUGUUGGACUGGACUGCACAAUUGGGCCUUAAGGGAAGUCCAUGUAGAGGUAUGGGCCCAAUUUGGAAAGUUGGGCCAUAUGUUGGGCUUUGAUCCCUAGUUGACUUUGGGCCUAUGGAUUGGGCCUUAGGCUUGGGUAAGCCAAGCUAGGGGUAAUGUAGUAAUUAUCCAAAGUAUGUAUUUAUAGUUAUAUAGUGGAACCCAAUUAUUAAUUGGGUGUUAUUUUGAUAUUGAAAAAUCGGGAGUCUGUCAUCCAGCAGCUAUGGUUUUGUCAGCAGGACUUCAGCAGCGUGAGGUGAGUUUCCUUCCAGUAGGAACGGGUCUACGGCCACAAUGCCGGCCCGUUUAGUUAGCAGUAGUUCCAGACCUCGGUCUGAUGCAGUAGUUAGAGUGCUCGAUGUCUUUGUGAUUCAAGCAUGUUUUGUGUUACGUGUUCCGGACUCUGGUCCGAUGCAGUAUGCAGUAUAUGUAUUCAUACUAGUUGAUCUGUUUAUGCUAUGCUAUGUUCAGUCAGUUUCCGGACUUCGGUCCGAUGCAGGGAACGGGGUCCCAGUGAGUUCCGGACUUCAGUCCGAUGCAGUUAGUUCCGGACUUCUGUCCGAUGCAGGGGACGGGGUCCCAGUCAGUUCCGGACUUCGGUCCGAUGCAGAGGGCAAGGCCCUGGUUAGUCCCGGACUUCGGUCCGAUGCAGUUUCCGGACUUCAGUCUGAUGCAGUGGGCAAGGCCCAACAUUUGUUUAUAUGUUAUUGUAUGGUAUGUGGUAGUUUGGGGGAGCUCACUAAGCUUCGUGCUUACAGUUUCAGUUUGGUUUCAGGUACUCAGUUUUCAAAAGAGGAGCUCGGGAAUGUUGCAGUGCAUACACCAUCUGUUCAGCCUGGGAUGUUUAUACUUUGAUAGUUUGACAAUUGUUACGAUAUUUUGAGAUACACUGUCUAUGAUUUUUAUAUGAUGUUCGAUGACUAUGGUUUUAUUAUUAAAUGAAAACAAAAUUUUUAGAUUGUAUUUUUGGGAUGUUACACAUUGUACUCGUUGAUACCCAUCUUCCCGGAGAAGAUCCUUUACAAAUUUAUCAAUCUGUGCUUACUAGUGAAUCUCUAGUUUGACUUGCAA